CGUUCUUUAAGGGAAAUAGGCAUUGAGAGUGGAAUACUUGUCAAUGCUAAUGGAUCAGCUCGUGUUAGACAAGUAUUUCAAUCGUAGUAAUCACUCAGGGUAAUACUGAGGUCAUUGUUGGGGUAAAAUGCGAGCUUUCAACUCCAAACCAAUCGACACCCACAUCGGGGAGAAUUGAAUUUAAUUUUGAAUGUUCAAAAAAUGUCUUUUCCGAAAACGAUAAUGAUUUUCCCAGCCAAAUGUCAGCGGAAGUCGUGGGCUUCAUUAACUCCGCGUUUUCGAAUUACCACCAUAAUCCUUCCCUCUGCAUAAUUCCGUCAAAAAUAUGCUGGUUACUCCACAUUGACAUUUUGUUAUUGGAAUCUGGCGGGAAUAUAUAUGACGUCACAUCCCUGGCUAUAAAAGUAGCCUUGGCGGACACAAUCCUCCCGUUGGUCUCAGUUUCCGCGGAGGGUGAGGUGGAGCCGGUGGGGAAGGGAUCCCGUCUGGACGUGAAGGAGUGUCCCACAGUGGUGACCACG